UGGGGAAGUAUUGCACAAUGGGCGCAAGCCUGAUGCAGCGACGCCGCGUGCGGGAUGGAGGCCUUCGGGUUGUAAACCGCUUUUGUUCAAGGGCAAGGCAGGCUUUCGGGCCUGUUGAGUGGAUUGUUCGAAUAAGCACCGGCUAACUACGUGCCAGCA
rnacentral:rRNA from 1 species